rnacentral:rRNA from 1 species
UACAGAGGGGGCAAGCGUUGUUCGGAAUUACUGGGCGUAAAGGGCGCGUAGGCGGCCUGUUAAGUCGAACGUGAAAUCCCCGGGCUCAACCCGGGAACUGCGUCCGAUACUGGCAGGCUUGAAUUCGGGAGAGGGAUGCGGAAUUCCAGGUGUAGCGGUGAAAUGCGUAGAUAUCUGGAGGAACACCGGUGGCGAAGGCGGCAUCCUGGACCGAGAUUGACGCUGAGGCGCGAAAGCCAGGGGAGCAA